rnacentral:pre_miRNA from 14 species
GUUUCAGUUAUAGCCUGCUAACUUGCUUAUUGUCUGAACAGCUAAAACCUACAUCUGAAAGAUCCCUGAAGAGAGACCCUUACUCAAGUCUUGGGAAAUCGCGGACCCCAGACACAGAGAGACUG